UUGCCUUUACAAGAGGUGAGUCAUACUUCAUAUAUCCAGUAAUUCAACUAUCAUUCUUCAUAUAUCAAAUAAUUGCGUCAAAAGGUAUUGUCACAUAAUUACAAAACAAUUGCAACUGUUUAUAUAUUCUCUCAGUAACUUUGCAUGUGAUGAGUUAUUCAUUCUCAUUGAUGUAGUAUCAUGUUUUAGUCCUUUACCACAGUAAACUUGACUUAAAAGAACACUAUCAGGAGUUUAGCUUUGUGUGUAUUUCAAAGGCUAUUAGUAAGAAUAUAUGGAACAAAUGAAUGAAUGGGGUGGAGACCCACUCACUAGCGGUGGGACCCACUCUCAUUCACAAAUACCUCCUAAUGUAAAAGUUACAUAAACAUGGAAAGAACCUUUAUUAUGGAAAAAGGGGAAAAGAAAAAAUAAUAAAUUAUACUAAAUAUCCAUAUCCUAACGCACCAUAAAUGUGAAAAAACUGUGAUAAAGUGAAAAUAUGUACCUUUUUAUAAAACCUGGGUAAUUUGUUCCAGAGCACCACAUGAAAUUGAAUAGGUUCCCAAAUGGCUAAUAAUGCAUAUACAUGAAAAGGAUAAAAAAAUCAAGCCAUACAGGUCCCCUACAGCAGUGGUAUAAAAUCUAGAGGUAUCUAGAAAUAAUAUAGUCCAUACAGGACUUCCAGUGUAUGUACACUGUCUGUGGCUCGUAUGAAGAUCGUCCUAAUGGGGCAGAGGGUGCCUAGCAGUGGUUCUGGUACCGACACCCAACCGGGCUAAAAUACAGUCACUAGUACAAACCCUUAAAGGUCAGUAGGAUUCUUAUAGUAACCUCUCAAGGGUUGUUAGUACUGAGAAACCUCUCUUUUUUGUUGAGGAAAAAUAAGAAGUGACAGAUCGAUGUUGCAAGUGAUUGCUAGUGGCUAGGUGUGCUCACUAAACUACCUGUGAAGGUGAAUUGGGCCCCCCUACAACCAUCCAAUAGUGAAGACAGCUCGUAACGGAUAAAAAAUCCCCCCACUGACUAAAGUAAGGGCGGGCUAAAGUAACCUUUCUGAGGUACUGGUGUCGGCCUGUCCAGCAUCACAACCUCUUCAUUUGUUUCCUAUUAUUAAGAAUACACAACCAUGCCUAUUUUCUUAAAUGGACACUGUAGGCAUCAAAACAGCUUAUGCUGCCCUAGCCACACCUCCCCUGUCUAUGACUCGCACAACCAACAAGAUAAAAUGGUUUCAUUUAAAAUCAGAUCUUAACUUACUAUUUUUCGCCGAGGGCCAAAAGCCCCAUGCAUGCUUAGGGAGCAUAGUGUAGAAAUAUCCAUACAACUGUUUUUAAAUAUUCAGGAUUCUUUUUUUUUCUGGUCACUUUAAAUUAGUGACGUAAAGAAAGUUAAGGGAAGCUCUUACUUAAAAAUUGAGGUGAGCCAGAGACAAGAGGUCUUUGAUCAUUAACCAAAAGCUGGGCACAGCUAACUCUCUGUACCUCUUCCAACUAAAUUCUGGAACUUUGAAUACUUAAUCUAACACUGUCUUUUCCAACUGAAUCUGAAAUUCUUUAAAUAAUCAGAACUCUCCUAUCUUUACAACAUCCCACAAUUCACUACUCAUACUUGCAUCCACCAUUCACGGCAUAUAUCUCCAAGCCUAAGGAAUUUCUACCAAGAAAGCUGGUAAAUAUGCUGGUCUCAUUUAAUUUAAUUUUAAUUAAUUAAUUUUACUAAAAGCAGAAAUAUACAUGAAUAAAAGCCUGAUCAUAUUUCUAACUUUUGAAAUCAUAAUUAGCUGUGGAAAUACAGGGUUCCACAUUCCAUUCCUGCAGGUGGAAUAAAUGAACAAUAUAUUUACUGGUAAUUUGUCAAGUAUAGAAACAUAGAAACAUAGAAUGUGACGGCAGAUAAGAACCAUUCGGCCCAUCUAGUCUGCCCAAUUUUCUAAAUACUUUCAUUAGUCCCUGGCCUUAUCUUAUAGUUAGGAUAGCCUAAUGCCUAUCCCACGCAUGCUUAAACUCCUUUACUGUGUUAACCUCUACCACUUCAGCUGGAAGGCUAUUCCAUGCAUCCACUACCCUCUCAGUAAAGUAAUACUUCCUGAUAUUAUUUUUAAACCUUUGUCCCUCUAAUUUAAGACUAUGUCCUCUUGUUGUGGUAGUUUUUCUUCUUUUAAAUAUAGUCUCCUCCUUUACUGUGUUGAUUCCCUUUAUAUAUUUAAAUGUUUCUAUCAUAUUCCCCCCUGUCUCGUCUUUCCUCCAAGCUAUACAUGUUAAGAUCCUUUAACCUUUCCUGGUAAGUUUUAUCCUGCAAUCCAUGAACCAGUUUAGUAGCCCUUCUCUGAACUCUCUCUAAGGUAUCAAUAUCCUUCUGAAGAUACGGUCUCCAGUACAUAUCAAGCUAUUAUCCAGAGAUUUUGACUUAUCUGAAUGUAAGGAUAGCUAAUCUUUAAAGGAUCACUAUAGGGUCAGGAACACAAACAUGUAUUCCUAACCCUAUAGUGAAAACCCACCAUUUAGGUGGCUUGCCCCCCCUUAGCCCAUGCAGAGCAUGGCGACUCUGAAUAGCAGGGCUGCUUAAUGUGCAGCCCUGAGCAGGAAGCCCCUCCAGUGGCCAUCUAAGGAGUGGCCACUUGGAGAUGUCCCUAGGGGCAAUGUAAACACUGCCUUUUCUCAUGAAAAUGCCUGAAGGGAGCUAUUAUACUCACCAGAACAACUACAUUAAGCUGUAGUUGUUCUGGUGUCUAUAGUGUCCCUUUAAUCAGAAAAAUUAAUCAUCUGCAAUGUAACAUUUUGGUUGCAUUAUUUUUUUGGGUUACUGGAUGGGAAAUGAAUAUUAAACUGAUUACUUGUGUGAAAAAAUAUUGUAUUUGUUAAUUACAAUAUUAAAGGUAUGUUUCCUGUGAGAAUUGUAGCCAGCAGUGAGUGAGUUACUAGUGUGAUACAAACUGACAGUAAAAGUUAUGGCUGGAAGCUGUGCUGUGAGAUGCUGUGUUCUGUGUUAAGGAAUUCUAGCAAAGCUGAAGUUUUCUGUAGUAAAUCGUGUUGAAAAUUGCAUCUAUGUGGAUAUUGAGCUAUCUGUAAUUGUGUCAUAACUGCUGCAAUAUUGCAUACUAAUGUUAUACCUAAAUAUUUACUGAUUAUUGUCACACAUGUUACUUAUUAUUAUUAUUAAUUAUUUGUCACAAUAAAUUAUAUUUGUAUAAUCAUUUGUGAUUAAUGUGUGAAAUACUAAUUCUCUAGGGUCUAUAAGAGUUAAAAUAGUAGGUAACUCUUUGCUUUAAAUCCAUCAAGGGAAACAACACAGAUAUAAUAAAAAUAUUAAAUUCAUUUUUGAUAAUUUUUAUGAUAAUAUUUCUAAUAUGUAUCACCCCAUAAAUAUCCUCACAGAUAGUUUUUGGAUGAUCUUGAAGUGGACAUUAAAAGUAAUUUGUACAUGACACAAAACUAGAUAAGAAAAUACAGUCUGAACAGGAUAUAAGUUCUCUACAGAGGGAUUUAAAUAAAUUGGGGAAUGGGUAGGCAAGUGGCAGAUGAGAUUCAAUACAGAUCAAUGCACAAUAAUGCAUUUUGGAAUAAGGAGUCCACAAGUCAUUUACACAUUAAAUGGGGUUGAGUUAUGGACAACAUUAAAUGAAGAGGACUUGGUAACCAUUAUAGAUCAUAAACUAGGAAACAGUAUGAAACACCGGUCUAUCAUUGCAAAAGCUAGUGAAGUGCGUUAAUGCAUAAAAGGGGUUUUGAUUUAAGUGAUCCAAUUAUAAUUUUGCCUCUUUACAAAUCAAUGGCAAAACUCUACCUUGAAUAUCUGGUGCAAUUUUGGCACCAAUUUUUUAAGAAGGUGCGACAGACCGCCUGGUGCCCCGACCUGGUGCCUCCGUCAGUCGAUGCUCCUAGUGCUCACUGAGUGCUCCAAGCACUCCACCAGACACCAUAAGCACUGUAGACUCCACGAGCUUGGUUGUGGUCUCGCCGUCCUCCACCCACCCUGGACCCAAGACCGUGAUCCAGCUUCCAGCAGGUAGACCUCUCCUACUCCAGAGAGCAUGGCAGGAACAGCUCUUAAAAGAGCUAGUGAUUAUACUCAGGGGAGUAUUGUGAUAUAGCAAUCCCCAGAGUGUAUGUAAUCCCCCAAACAUGAGCCAAGACUUCAUGAAGGAUAAAGCAUAUUGUUUAAUGGGAGCCACAGCUGGCCUUUUAUGCAAGUCCCCAUGCAAGGGAACACCCACGUGGACCUUGUGGGGAACAGGAUGACAAUUGGUACAAGCCAAUGAUAAUGCAGUACAGUAGGUGACACUCCCAUACAUUACACACAAUCCCUCCCCUCAUCCUGGGAGAUUAUUGAGUCAAGUCCUGUAUGUAACUCAAUUAUCUCCAGGCAGAAAAACACACAUUUUUACAAAGUAUGAAAAGUACCCCAAAACACAACAUAUCCCCAUAAAUGUCACAUCCCCUGAUAGCCCUGAUAUGGGUGACCAACAUAUCCAAAAAUCACCCAGAUCAGAGCAGGUGGUUCAGAAAAUUCCUGGAAGCCUCUUUUUGACCAACCGCAUGCCUGGUUUCAUGCCCAAAAUAGUUCCAGAGAAUCAGGCUGUGCGGCCAGUCUAUUUCAAAUACUCAAAAUACCGUUCAAAUUACCGAACGUAGCCAUUCAUGAAUGUAGUCAGUAUAUGUCCCUUGUUCAUGGGUUUCUGCCCACGGAACAUUUUGACUCCCGUUCGAAUAGCCGUAGUUCCAUGGAAAGUAACUGUUCAGCGGUGUUCGUGCCGCCGCAUGUCUGAUUUGAGUUCCAUGAACUCAACGACAAAACAGAGCUGAACACGUUCAAAUAAACAAGAUGGCCACCGCUACGUGUUCGACUAUACGAACAGCGACCACCCAGCCGUUCAACAAUUUGGCUGCGGUUAACUACCAGCCUUGGAGGUAAAUAGGCUGCACACUCCACUUGAUAGGGUCUCUCCACCACAAUAAAUUAAAGGGGCCAUAAUCACAGGGUAAAAGGCUGGCAAGUAGUCCCAUCCAAACCCCAGUGGUGAAGUGGCUUUCGCCACAGAAGGAUAUUGUAGAACUAGAAAAAGUACAGAGGUGGGCUACAAACUAGUAAGGGGAAUGGAAAACAUUAGUUAUGAAGAAAGGCUAGAAAAACUGGAAAUUUUUCUUAAGAAAAAAGGUGCAACAUACCUCAGAUGUGAUAUGAUAGCACUAUACAAAUAUAUACAGGGUAGGUACAAAGGUGACAAGAUGUCAUCUAUUGAGACUGGAAGAAAGGGUUAUUUACAGUAAUAACAAGAAAGAUGUGGAAUUCUCUGCCUAAAGAGGAUGAGUGUCAAAAUCACAGUCCUGCCUAAACCAUGAAGCAUCCACAAUUUCAUCAUCAAAAUGGCUCCCUAAGAUGGACUGACAAAGGAAUAGUUGAGACAACAACAGAUAGACAAGGUUCAUUUGCAGAUAGUAAAUAUGACUCAUAUGACCCAAAAUCCUAUCAGGAAAAAGCAGGACUAAAAGACAGCACUAAUCCUAGCAGCACAGGAACAGCACCCAAGAGAAGCAAAGGUAUAUCACACCAGACAGGAUUCAAGAUGCAUACUCAGCAUGGGUCCUCAUCUACCUAUUGUUCCUGUAUCAUUUUGUAAAGGUCUAAUUUAUCGUUAAAUCUCCCCAUUCAGCUUAUUGUGAAAUAAGUUGGCGUUAUAUAACUAUCAAUAAUAAUAAUAAUAAUAAUGAUGGGGGAGCUGGAAUGACUUGGACAAAUGGGAGCCUGAAACUACCUGGGGCUCCCAUUGCCCCUUUAGGAGCAUGCUUGCACCGCUCUUAAUUACCACCGGUGGGCCAUGAGACCGUUCGUUACGGUCGGGGCACACGGACUGCUCAGUAUUAGCAAAUGAUCGAGCGGCAUGCGGCUCGUGUGGAUGCAGGAGUGCUUGAGCCACAUGCAGCUCGAGCGAAAGACCCAGGUCAGCUCGUUGUAUGGGUUAAGUACCACUUCUAAAUGGAAGACUGCAGUGGUGGUGGAUGUGGCAACACCCAACGACCAUAAUAUCAGGAAGAUAGAACACAAGUAGGUGGAUGUAGUGAUGCUCCAAUACUCCAAGCAAGGAUCUCAGCUGAAGUCCUCUCAGGUUGGAGGAAAUGCUGCUGUGAGGAUUAUAGCCCACCUCCCCAAGCAUUAGACAACACUUAGAGAAGGGGAGAACAAUCAAACUUUAUUAAAAACAGCAAAUCUACUUAUACCCCAAAGCCUCAUUUACUUGCAAUAGGGUUACAGUGAUACCCAAUGGCAGUAUGGGCUUGGGAUAGUAACUAAUUACACUGCAUAUCCCAAGCUAAGCAAUAGCAGUAUGGACUUGGGAUAGCAACUAAUCAAACUACAAAACUUAUAACCAGUGUGAAUGGAGCCAUGUAAUUACCAGGAAAGGUGGGGACAGACAAUAGCAAGGGCUGAGAACCACAUGGGGGAUUAAAAUGAUUGGUAGUUGGGCCAGUUUGAACUUGUGUCCCUGGAACAAUGGGACAAUGCCCUCCUGGGAAAACAAUGAGAAGGGGUAAGAAAAUAGCUUAAAAACAAACAAAUACAUUGUACACACCCUACACCUAUACUCGGCACAGGGUAACCAUCAAAAAGUGUAAAUUUUCCUUCAACAGUGAUGGUGACUGCCAUCACAUUGGACAAAUACAAAGGGCUGAAAAUGAGCUACAAAGGAUGUGGAAAGAAAAGGCAGUACUAGACCCAGUUGUGAUAGGAGCAGUCAAGGCUGUAAACCUCAAGUUGGGAGAGUGGCUUCAGCAGAUUCCAGAUGAGAAAUCUGAGAUCUCUGUCCAGAAGAGUGAAGUUCUAGGAACUGUGAAGAUAGUGCGCAGAACCCUCAGACUCCCAGACCUAUGGCUGAGGACCCAAGUAUGGGGAAUACACAAAAUUACCAUCUGGGAGGAGUGAGAAAACCAACUUUAUUUAUAUUAUAUAUAAAUAUUAUAUUUAAUAUUAUUUUUUUUGUCACUGUCAUCUUCUGCUUGUGCAUGUGUUUAUAUGUCUCCUAACUUCUCUUAAGGAAGUUAGACAUGGAGUUUUCCGGUGCAAGUGGUUUUUGCAGUUACUGCAAAAACAUUGUUAUUAUUAUUACUGGCAUUUAUAAAGCGCCAAAAUACUCCACAGCUCUGUAUACAUCUAAAAUUAAAAAGAAAUCAGAGUGAUUAUAUUAGUAACACCUGAAGGCAUGUGGUUAGACCUGAAUGACAGGCAGGAAGGAGGUGUGCAUGUCAUCCUUUUCUCAGUUUGUUACUCAUUGCAGAAAGACCAAGAAAAACAGUGGCAAUGGUUCUGCAUGUUUGUUUGCCCUGUCUCUCAUUGAACCUCCAGCCUACAAACAGAAGUGCUGUGUGAGUGUGUGGGGAUCUAAUGUCAUAUUUUCCCCUAUCUCCACCUGUAUGUUUAGAACUUCACUGACAGGCCUGUCAGACAAGCUUAUUAAUUCCUUGCCAGGUCACACUACGAUCUGGAAGGUACAGGAUGACACAUGUGAGUUACAAGAGAGAAACAAGGGAGGGAAUGUUUCAGGAAAGAUGAGAGGUUCAGAAGAGGAGAGAUACACAAGGAAGUGAGGGGGUCAAAAGAGAAAGCCAAGAGGGUGAGAUUGUGCAAAGAAGCAUACAAGGCGUGUAAAAAGAAUUACAAUUUCUUGAAGGUUGCAUCAGACAAUUCAGGCCCAGGUACCAAAUAAUCUGGUAUGCCUCUGAAUUACAUUAAAUCGUUGUAGUUUAGAUGCAAGGAGUGUCCCUUGGAAUUAAAAAAAAACCAAAGAUCUGUAGAUAUAUGUAUAUAUAUAUAUUUUAUUUUUUUAUUUUUUUUGUUUCCUAAAAUUGUCUUAUUUAUUUUAACAGGUAAAACAACAAGCUCAGAAAUUGCACACUGACAAGAAACGAAAACCAGAGGAAUUCCAGAGAUUAAUCCUUCCCUACAUAACAGCGAACUUUGUAAAGGGAGUCAUAUGAAUCCAUAUGAAUCUACGUGAAUCUUUCUCAAUUGUUUCAUUUUCCAUCCACUUCCUCUCUGCCAAAGUGUUUAUCCUGUCACAUAAUUGUGGGGAGUUAAACAUACAGGUUGCUAACUUAAACACAGCCUUCUGGCACAUGAACCCAUCACAAAGACAAAAUUUCCAAGAUUUAUUUGUUAAUUUACCUGCCCUGCACAGCACCAAGGCUUCAUUAGAACAUUCAUGCUGAACAGAAUGAAGCAAGAACCUCAAGUUUUACCAAAUAGUUUCAGCUUCCUAUAAAAUAUAAAGCUCAAUUUUAAAUUCUGGUUCUUGCUUUCAAAUCUCUGCAUAAUGCUGCUCCCACCUAUCUAUCCUCCCUUAUACACAAGUAUGUCCCAUCUAGGCC
rnacentral:lncRNA from 1 species